UCCCUAGUGGCUCAGACGGUAAAGCGUCUGUCUGCAAUGCAGGAGACCUGAGUUCAAUACCUGGGUUGGGAA
rnacentral:tRNA from 1 species